GUGCCAGCCGCCGCGGUAAUACGUAGGUGGCAAGCGUUGUCCGGAUUUAUUGGGCGUAAAGCGAGCGCAGGCGGUUUCUUAAGUCUGAUGUGAAAGCCUUCGGCUCAACCGAAGAAGUGCAUCGGAAACUGGGAAACUUGAGUGCAGAAGAGGACAGUGGAACUCCAUGUGUAGCGGUGAAAUGCGUAGAUAUAUGGAAGAACACCAGUGGCGAAGGCGGCUGUCUGGUCUGUAACUGACGCUGAGGCUCGAAAGCAUGGGUAGCAAACAGGAUUAGAUACCCUGGUAGUCCAUGCCGUAAACGAUGAGUGCUAGGUGUUGGAGGGUUUCCGCCCUUCAGUGCCGCAGCUAACGCAUUAAGCACUCCGCCUGGGGAGUACGACCGCAAGGUUGAAACUCAAAGGAAUUGACGGGGGCCCGCACAAGCGGUGGAGCAUGUGGUUUAAUUCGAAGCAACGCGAAGAACCUUACCAGGUCUUGACAUCCUUUGACCACUCUAGAGAUAGAGCUUUCCCUUCGGGGACAAAGUGACAGGUGGUGCAUGGUUGUCGUCAGCUCGUGUCGUGAGAUGUUGGGUUAAGUCCCGCAACGAGCGCAACCCUUAUUACUAGUUGCCAGCAUUUAGUUGGGCACUCUAGUGAGACUGCCGGUGACAAACCGGAGGAAGGUGGGGACGACGUCAAAUCAUCAUGCCCCUUAUGACCUGGGCUACACACGUGCUACAAUGGAUGGUACAACGAGUUGCGAGACCGCGAGGUUUAGCUAAUCUAUUUAAACCAUUAUCAAUUCGGAUUGUAGACUACAACUAGCCUACAUGAAACCUGAAUCGCUAGUAAUCCCGGAUCACCAUUCCUCGGAGAAUACGUUCCCCGGCCUUGUACACACCGCCCAU
rnacentral:rRNA from 1 species